UUUACUGAAUCUAAUUCAACACUCGACACAACGUCCCACCUCCGUGUGUUUCGUGUGUGGUGGGGUGGCACGACAAAGGAGCAGACCUCGUGAUGAGUUGUUCAUUGUACAUAAUCGUACACCGUAAAGAUACAUUUAUUCAAAUCAAUUCGCCGUAUCAGGUACACUAGAUCAACACGAGUUUUGAUGCACGAUGACUGACAGAAAGGAAGGAAUCACAAAAAUUAUAAUGUGAUCGAAUUAAUUUGCUUAUAUAAGUUAUAGUUGUAACAAUUGGACUCGUUGUGUGUAAUGUUAUUUAGUUCAAAAUUUGUAAGAGAAAUAAAUGAAUUGAUUUUCUACGCUUAUGCGAUUA